CACAAAUAUGCUCCUGUUACCUUUAGGAUCUGAAUCAUAGUCUAUAAAUCCUGCUUUGCGCUUGACGUAUAUCGUCCUUGUGCGAAUCAGAUUUUCCAUAUCGCGAGGAUUGGAGAGAUCGAUUCUAAUUGGCCAAUAUCGGGGUGAAUCAACUUCGAUGGCUCUGUUGGCGCACAGAACUGCCCUCACGGAAACGAAGCUUGACCGGAAGAUAGACAGUUUCGAGCGUUUCCACAUCACGUGCCGUGAGACAUCUUGCUUCAACUGCAAGUGCCCAAAGAUGUCGAAAUGCCUGUGGAUAGGCUUUGUUAUCUGAGGGAUUCGGCAAGAAGCGAGGGAAGAAAGCGAUGGCCAUAGCAGCGAUGGCUAGAUUUGAAUUUCCAAGGGUAUAUUGCCCUCUGCCAAGGAACAACAGCCCCAAAGCCAUGUGCAUGGCCAUGUGGGUUCCGUAAUUCACACCCGCACCCUCCUGACCGUGGCUUACCCUCAACCUCCUCAAGACCCCCAGCUCUCCCGUUCCAGACAUGACAGCAGCCAACGCUAUCGUUAUAACAUUCAAGCCUUGCCUAGCAGAGGUUCGUUUUAUGCGACCCUCAUAGUUCAUGCCCUGCCCUGAUACGGCUUUGGCCAAUGUGCUGUAAAGCGACAGAAUCGUGUUAUGUGCCAGUUCUGUGGCUGUACCAGCGUACUUGAGUCCCAUAGCAAGGCCUGCCCCAGAUAUGAUGUUAAGAUAAGCGAGCUCAGUUGUUAGAUCAGGACUUCGUGUUUGCUUGGAAUCCUUUAUACCCAAAAGGACAAAAGCUGGUAUUUGCUCUUCCACCCAAGCAAUUGUCGGAGCAAUGCUAUCCCACAUUAUAAGAGCUCGCGCAAAAGUGCGAAGUAGCAACCACUCUGGCUUGACCUGGUCGAGACUGAAGGCUGUUUGAGGGAUCUCCAAUAGAUCAGCAACAUCUUUACGCAUGGUUUUAAGAUACGCUAAGCCCAACGACAGCGUCGCACCAGGAGCAGUGAUGUUGAUAUCCACACCAGGAAAACUUGGUCUUCCUCUGGAUGAGUCUAGCGAUGUCAUGUCUCCGACGAUGCACCGUCGUAGUUGAGCCAACAUCUUUCUGUCUAUCUCACUCGUUGUACUUCCACCACGCCCAAGCAUGAUCAGUCCGUACGCUAUGGAAGCAGAGAACGAGUAUGACUCUUGAUAUUCUCCGAAACCUGGAACGUUGGGCAUAUCCAGCCGACCAACUUCGCUCAGAGCAACCUCUGCCAUACGAAGGUUCCGACUACCUACAUAUACAAGGCCGAGCCCAACCAAUGCAGUGGAUUGAAUGAUGGGUGAGGCGUUGAGUUCCAUGGAUCCAAGAGGGAGUAGGGCAUGAGUAUGAAGGGAAAGGAUUUUGGUGAUGAGAAGGUCUCCAGAGCCGGCAUAUGACGAGGCCAGACCGAGAAGUAGGCCCACAGAGGUGAAAUCAUGCCGAGGUUCCAUAAGGGGGAACGCAUGAUAAGUUAACAACGACCGCAGAUGACCCGUCAAACCCAGACCAAGUAAAAAACCUCCAUGCUCCGAAUUCAAAGCUUGCGGGCGGUUGAAGACUAUCCAAGAGCUGUCGAUACCCUUGCAAUCGGGUGAUAUGGACAGCCCAGCAGAAACACCGUUAUGGAAGCAAGGCCACUCAGCACUGUCUGAAACAAUCUCCGCUUUGAGGACAUUAUUCCCCGGCGUGAUCUUGACAGACAGCUCAAUGAAGGGGAUCUCCCAAACAUCGGUUAUGGUAGUCACACGAGUGCCGUAUUCAAACAUGCCUUGGCCCACAGUGAUAGAUAGUGUGCGAUUGGCAAGCGUAUUGACGAAUGACUGUUGAUAUCGGGCGACAUCAUCGGCACUGGGGGCCUUUGGUUCUCAAAUUCGUAGUUUGCAUAAUCCUCUCCACCUCCUGUAAUCUUCUGUCUGUUCCAAAGCGCACAUGGGGAAGAAUCAGUGGCGCUUUCUUCUUUGGUUUCGCGUCCAUCUUUCCUGCUUCGGGCUGUGACAUGAUCUGACCAAUGGUCGGCAACCGUUCCGGCCCAAGCUGAUUCCCAUCAGCUGCAUACCUCCCGAAUAGUCGAAAGAAGCACUUACGCCACUUGGCCAAUCAUCCUUCACAAGAUCCUCAUACCAUCUGUCUCUCGUUGCCUUCAUGGCCAUAUCCGGUCUUCCUAUUAGGAUGUACAUUUCCCUCGUCCAGUCGUCUUCUGGUGAAUACUGACAUGCCCGCAAAAUUUCAAGUAUUGGCAAAGACACUCCGUGGGGCAGAUCACGCAGCCACUCGGCAUUGGGAACUCUCGAGAUGAUAAUUUUGAGGGCAUUCCUUGCGCGCUGAGAGAGCGGUAAGUUUUGUGAUUGCGUAUCGAUUGACGGCCCAAGCUCUUUAUAGAUAGAAGUUAUGAGUGCGAUCCUCGGGCAUGGUUCUAACAGGUCAAAUUCGUCCGAAUUAUCCUUAAAAGUAUGAACACUUUUGGUAUUACGACCUGAAGGUUUGAAAAUGCGACCAGGCAUUGGGAAUCCUUUGGUUGAGCAUGCGAGGUGACGCGAUAAGGACAGCAUGAUAUCAGGGGGCGUAUCAAACUGGUCAAUAAUAUGGGUAUCAAAUGUUCCACCUGCGACCAGCCUGGUCAGCACUCAUGUCCUGAUAAAGCUAGAAGUCUUUCAUACCUGUGACUUGCACGUGAUUGGUAACUUCUACCGGCAUGAUUCUUUCCCAGUAAUCCACCCAAUCCCUAUUGUCAAUCUGUAAAGCAAAUUUGAUUAUCAACUUCACUACUCGGGACAGAUCCUUUCUGCGGGAUAAGGAAAGUCGAAAGUCUUGAGCUACUAAGUGUAAUGAAAGUAAGAUGCCGGGCGACGAUUGAUAGAUAGAAGUCUUGAAGGCAAUUUGCCGGUACUCUGAUGGCGAGGACAAAUGUACUUGCUUGUACUUGAGGCGAGCCGCUAGGCGCCUAGUAAUAGCGUCUACAGACGAUGUACUGUCUUGUACAAUGUUGCUCAUCUUAGGGAAAGUGCGCCUCUCCACCUGAAGUCCAGACAUGGAUGUCAAGGUUUCCUCAAAAACCUUCCAGACCGCAUCUGGAUCAUCCCUUCGGCAGCUGGGAAGUGCUUGAAGCUCUGACAGUAGCUCGAGUUUGAACUCAACGAAGGCAUUUUCACUCAGAAUGCCGGAUAAAGCUUCCAAACAACGCUGAGUGAGUUCAUGGCGGAUAUAUAUAGCAGCAGAGAAUCGUAUAGAUUCUCCGUUCGCGUAGACAGUGGUGAAGCGCGAACCCAGUGGAUCAACGAAUUUGGCAGGCUUGAGAGAAGAUCGAUAGCAUUUCGAUAGAUUGGUUGGGAGUGAAAAGGGAUACUGUCUUCUACCGGUGGUCACCAGCUGCGGGCCAGUGCCAUCACCAAGAGGGAGGAUAAUUGUGUCGUAUAUGUUUUGUCGAGGUGAUGAUGCGAAGAUUGGGGUACGGCUACAAAGGAUAGGAAUGGCAGACCGGCAAGGUAUGGGUGGAAGGCUCUUGAUGACCCAGCGCUGAGAAUGACCGGUUCGGAAGGUUGCGUCAAAGGAGCAUAAUUGAGAUGACGUAUUUUGAAGUGUCGACAAUGAGGUGACAUGAAUGUUAAUGACAACGUGGUGUGGGUUCUCGUUGUCGCUCAAAAAGACAUUAGUUUGCUUUAAAUCUACCGUACUAUGCCAAGUGGCAGUCAGUACAAGGAUGUUAUUUAAAAUGAACGGUUAACUUACAAUGGCUGCUUCCAGGUCGCAAGCGCAUGAAACACCACUUCGCUUCGGACGCCCACUUCAUCUCUUUCUAAGCCCAUCAUCAUGGUCGUUUCUCUGAGGUCUUUCUCUGCGGCUACGUGAAGUGCCAUUUUAGCUUGAGGUCUGUUUAUGUCAUGAAGGAUGAAUGACGCAGCUGUCGAAGUGCGUCCCUUGCUUUCAGGAAAGGAUGGUCGGGGAGUCGUAGUAGGCAUCAAAGAUACGCCUCGACUACGCCGAUGACCAACACUAGUGGCAGGAAUGUUGGAAGGAGGUUCGAGGACGGCCUGUAGUUCAUCGGUGGAUGCUAUAUCGGGUGGUGGGCCACGUGACAGACGCGGUGCACGUCGCUGAGUACGAUCCAGCGGGUCAGCAGCGCUUGACAAUCUUCGGUCGCCAGCUGUGGGACCAAACGAUGAAGUAUUGCGAUGCAGAGAAGGACGACCAUGAUGGGGCUGUACAGGUACCUGACGAUUGUCAGGCUGCCUAAGAAGCUCUUCGGGCCGCAUAGCUCUUGGAUUAGGCGUAGAAGCGAGGUGCUC
rnacentral:sRNA from 1 species